rnacentral:rRNA from 1 species
UACGUAGGGUGCAAGCGUUGUCCGGAAUUAUUGGGCGUAAAGAGCUCGUAGGCGGUUUGUUGCGUCGGCUGUGAAAUCCCCGAGGCUCAACCUCGGGUCUGCAGUCGAUACGAGCAAACUAGAGUGUUGCAGGGGGAGACUGGAAUUCCUGGUGUAGCGGUGAAAUGCGCAGAUAUCAGGAGGAACACCGGGUGGCGAAGGCGGGGUCUCUGGGGCAACAACUGACGCUGAGGAGCGAAAGCGGUGGGGAGCGAACAGG